UUUUUAAUCUCUCCUAGGCAGUGAUAUGACCUCCCAACAAGAAUUCACUUCUUGCCUAAAGGAAACACUAAGUGGAUUAGCCAAAAAUGCCACUGACCUUCAGGUGAGGAGAAAGUAGUAGGGGCCCACAAGGGGUCCACUCCCAGACAUUUCUCCAGCAGAGUCUCAAAAGACAGAUGCUUUGAGUAUCAUCCCAAGUCUGUUGCUGUCUUAUUGUUUGUUACAGGCAAGUUUAGAUAGUUUAUCUUUGUCACCUGAGAGAGUGGUGAGCAUCCCAAGAAGGUAGUAUACCUGCUCACCUCUUACUUGUCCUAUCUAGAACUCCAGCAUGUCGGAAGAAGAGCUGACCAAGGCCAUGGAGGGGCUAGGCAUGGACGAAGGGGAUGGGGAAGGGAACAUCCUCCCCAUCAUGCAGAGUAUUAUGCAGAACCUACUCUCCAAGGAUGUGCUGUACCCAUCACUGAAGGAGAUCACAGAAAAGUAUCCAGAAUGGUUGCAGAGUCAUCGGGAAUCUCUACCUCCAGAGCAGUUUGAAAAAUAUCAGGAGCAGCA
rnacentral:lncRNA from 1 species